GCGGUAGUCUCCUCGUAAGUGGGCCACGGGACCAGCGGGCACCGGACCCUGGCUCUGUAAGGCAGUGUGCUCCUAGGAGGCCCGAUAACAAAUAAAGAGUGACCUCACACACCGUCCCUUCUUACACCCCAACCCUUUAAAUAAAAACACGUUUCGCGGUCUCGCACCGCCCGCCUCGCUCUCCACAGGUAAAGCUCGGACAUCUAAGAGCGCGCUGGGUGAUAGAUUCCCUGGGAAUUCCUAAUUUGAAAAUCACAGAUUUGGAUGAUUUUUUGGAUAAUGACUCUCUCAUCAAAAAGUUAAUGGGGAGGAGUCAACGUUUUUUCUUAUCCUUUCAAGCUGUGUGCCAUAACCUGUGAUUGAAAAUUAUAAACAGUGAAGUACUAUCAAGGAAGAAGCUGUACAUCACUUAUAAAUCAAUUUUAAACUGAACACUCUAAAACUGAAUCUAUUUCAAAAGAGGCAUGAUUGAACGUAAGCCUGUGCCAUAUCCUCAAAGAGGUUAGAUUUUAAAUUCCUCUAGAAUCAUUAGAGACUUGGGUUCUAGGGUUUAUUAAAUCACAUUAUUCAAUGAAAGAGAUGACUCCCAAUAACUCUUUCAUAUUAUAUCCUUCAACUUUUUUCUAACCUCUUUAUCUCAUAGAUAGUAUCACAAAAUAAAACAAUUUGAAAAAGAACUGACCAGCCUAUUCCAUAAACAGUUUUCUUAUUGCUCUCUGCCAUGGUGCUAUUCUCCUCAUUCUCUUUACAUUGUCACAUUAAUCACUUUGGGUACAGAAUACCAUAACACGUUCCUCAUUUUUCUGUCUCUAAUCUCUUCCAGCUACAUAGAACUGAUAAAUAAUAUAUUUCAAAUAUUUGUUGUUUUUAAACAUGGAUAUUUCCUGAUCAGGAAGUAUCUGUGCCAUUGUUCUUAGCCUCAAAUUUAUGAUCAACAGCUAUUUCUUUUUCUGAUAAAUUGUAAUUCCUUUCUUUUCUCAAAUGAACCCUCCCUCCACCUUCAGCCAAGUCCAUUCAUUCGUGUCCCCUAAGAGAAAAGCUUACAUCUCUUUCUAGGCUUUGGUUCGCCCUGUUUCUUAGGCUAAGAAUGAGAAGUCAUUCUCUCAGGGCCUAAAAACAGGCUCAAAAUCCCCAGGAAGGAUUCCAAACACCACCCAAAUUGGCUCUGUUACCCUCUCUGCUCAGCACCUUUCAACAUUUAUGUGCUUAUUUUACAAUAUCUUAACUUACAUUUGAAGACAAACUGAUCUAUCUACUACUUCAAUUGUUUGAUGUAAUUUGUUUUCUAACUCCCAACAAAAACUCUAUAAAGUCUUUAAGGUCAAAAAUGGCCCCAGUGGUGUGCUGGAUUUGGGUAAAGCCAGUUGUGCCUGUUAACUCCAGGCACAUCAUGUUCAAUGAUAUGUUGGCCACAGUGGAAAUCAGCAAAUGCUACAAAGUAGGACUUUUUUCGGUUUUGUUUUUCUUGGACAGCAGUUGAUAACUAUUUACCAGCACACCACUAGAAUUUCGGUAAUCUAAUUUUAUGUUCUCCUUAAAAAUGCUUAAUAAGGUUUUCUGCAUCCAGUAGGUACUCAAAAACUUCUGACUAACAACACACAAACACAAAAUAUUAGCAUAAUUUACUCAAUACACAAAUUAUUUCAGAAAGAGCUAGAGCAUCUGAUGUUGUUUUGGAAAUGGUCUGAUAGCUCAUAUUCAUGUACAAUUUCACAUUAUUUACCAAAAGUAAUGUUACGUUUUUAUAAAAUUCAAUGUUUCUGGGGGUCUAACUCUCAGAAAAUAGUACACAUAAUUUCUCACUUUUAGAAAAUAAAUGAAGUUUUACAGUCAUUGCUUUGUUUCUGAGAGUACUUGAUUGCUUUCCUUAAUAGGCCAAAUUUCUGAAGCAACAGAUGCCUCCCAAAUUACGUACUACCAUGUCUUUUAUUACCACAUAACUAUUUUUAGUACAUUAAUUCUUUUUAUUUAAUUUCCACAAGUGCAAACAGUGGGAUUGUGCACAAUUUGUUAAAAUAGUUUUCUCAAACAAUCAUGACACAUUCAAGGACUAAUGCACUUGGGA